rnacentral:rRNA from 1 species
ACAGAGGGUGCGAGCGUUGUUCGGAAUUAUUGGGCGUAAAGGGCGCGUAGGCGGUGCGGUAAGUCACCUGUGAAACCUCUGGGCUUAACUCAGAGCCUGCAGGCGAAACUACCGUGCUGGAGUGUGGGAGAGGUGCGUGGAAUUCCCGGUGUAGCGGUGAAAUGCGUAGAUAUCAGGAGGAACACCUGUGGUGUAGACAGCUUACUGGACCACUUCUGACGCUGAGACACGAAAGCGUGGGUAGCAAACAGGA